GCAGUUGACGAGAUAAGUUGUAGCAAUAUGACUUUGAAAGUGGCGCACGGGUGCGUAACACGUAUGCAACCUACCUUUUACCGGGGAAUAGCCUCUCGAAAGAGAGAUUAAUACCCCAUAACAUAUAGUAUAGGCAUCUAUAUUAUAUUAAAGUUCAGGCGGUAAAAGAUGGGCAUGCGGUUGAUUAGUUAGUUGGUGAGGUAAUGGCUCACCAAGACUUCGAUCAAUAGGGGGUCUGAGAGGAUGUCCCCCCACACUGGUACUGAGACACGGACCAGACUCCUACGGGAGGCAGCAGUAGGGAAUAUUGGACAAUGGGCGCAAGCCUGAUCCAGCCAUGCCGCGUGCAGGAUGAAGGCCCUAUGGGUCGUAAACUGCUUUUGUACGGGAAGAAAACACACUACGUGUAGUGUGCUGACGGUACCGUGAGAAUAAGGAUCGGCUAACUUCGUGCCAGCAGCCGCGGUAAUACGAAGGAUCCAAGCGUUGUCCGGAUUUACUGGGUUUAAAGGGUGCGUAGGCGGACUUUUAAGUCAGUGGUGAAAGCCUGUAGCUUAACUAUAGAAUUGCCAUUGAAACUGAAAGUCUCGAGUGUGGUUGAGGUAACUGGAAUAUAUCAUGUAGCGGUGAAAUGCUUAGAUAUGAUAUAGAACACCAAUUGCGA
rnacentral:rRNA from 1 species